AUUUUUUACAUUUCAUUUGUAAAUAUACUACAGUCAUUAACCUCUGACAUAUUCUCGUUUACUAGAUACUCCAAAGAACAACUCAGUGUCAGUCAGUCCCUCUCGUGAAAUAGUGGAGGGAGGUUCAGUGACUCUGACCUGCAGCAGUGAUGCCAACCCACCUGUGGACAAAUACACCUGGUACCAGAAGAACGUAACCUCACCAAAAGCAUCAGGACAGAGUUACAGCAUCACUAACAUCAUCUCUGAGGACAGAGGAGAAUAUUACUGUGAGGCUGAGAAUAAAUAUGGACGUCUCAACUCUUCUUCUGUGUCUGUGGACGUUCAGUGUAAGUUCACCUCAUCUUUAAUCAGAGGAUCACAUUUAAAUUCAUAUUUCAAUAACAAGAAAAACACUAUUUAAUACACUGUUGUUACAUAUUGUCCACCAGACGGCCCAAAGAACACCUCAGUGUCAGUCAGUCCCUCUGGUGGAAUAGUGGAGGGCAGUUCAGUGACUCUGACCUGCAGCAGUGAUGCCAACCCACCUGUGGACAAAUACACCUGGUACUUUCAAAAUGAGACUUUUCUAAAUGGAUGUGGACAGAUGUACAACAUCAGUAACUUCAAGUCUAAGGACAGUGGACAUUACCACUGUGAGGCCUGGAAUAGAAGAGGAUCUAGGAACUCUACAGCUGUGAUGAUCAUUAUACCAGGGAAACAAACCUCAGUUCUGACUACAGCUGUAGGAAUCAUAGUGGUUGUUCUGGUUCUCAUCCUCUGUUUCUCUGGACUCAUGUGGUUCAGGAAGAAGGCCUCCAAAUCCACCUCUGACACAAGAGACACAUCAGAGAAUGUACAGGGAGACUCUAGUCCAGUGUAUGAAAACGUCUCAAGCAUGACCAUGGCCCCUACUGCAGCACAGACAGCAGCCACAGAUGACCAGGAUGAUGUUCACUACUCCAGCGUCCACUUCUCUCACUCCAAAAACCAGGAAGUGCCUCUGUACUCCACCGUCCAGCUGUGUAAACCCCAGAAACAGGAAGAGGAUGUCCAGUACGAUACUGUGAAAUUCAACCUCCCCAGUGCUGCCACCCGGUGAGCAUAUUCUGCCAUUACAACAACAUAGAGCCAAUUAUAGAGCAUUGUGAAUACACCACAUUAAAGCAGAAGUUGGCUUUUAGAUGUUGUAUUAGGGUCAAGACACCUUUGUGAUUUAACUUGUUUAAGAGAAACUUCCCCCAACCAGCAAUUCACUUCCUCAUCCUCGUUGUGCAGUAAAGAGGCUCUGAAAAAACAUGAACAAAUGCUAAAAAAAACACCUAAUACGUCCUUUUACAAACAGAAAUAUCUCAGUAUAGUGAUGCAGGUCUUUAGAUGUAACAGUUGUACACAUGACAUUGUGUCAUUCUGAACUUUAUCCACAACGUUAUAUUCCGUUUUGUGAUGCUCCUGCUGUUUCUCCGUCCAACUGUUCUAUUCUCAGUGUAUCAGGCUGCUAGAACGGACGAGAAGCAUCGUUCAAGUCUCAACAACAUGGAACAUGACGUUACGGAUUAUGUUCAGAAUGACACCAUUUCAUGUGUACAACAUCUAAAGACAUGCAUCACUAUAGACUACUGAGAGCUUUUUAGUUUCUAAAAGGUUUUUUUGGGGGGGGGGGUUUGGAGCCCACUGACUGAACAACGAGGAUGAGGAAGUGAAUAGAUGGUUGGGGAUAGUUUCUCAAAAACGAGUGAAUUCACCCAAAGAAAAUCUGACCCUCCUAUAACAUUCCAGCUACAUAUGUUUCUAGAUUUGGUUGUAAACAAGCUUUAUUCUAGAUUACAGCUCAUUCAUAUGCUGCUGCUUAUUGGACGAGAAGACCAUGACGUCAUUAAUAAGCAAAAGAGUUGACCCCUAGUGGCCACUAGUAAUGGAAUUUCCUUACAAACCCAACAAUAUAAUGAGAGAGUGGUGGUUUUGAGGAACUGUUCUGUGUUCCAAAUGGAACCCUAUUCCCUAUUUAGUGCACUAAUUUUCAA
rnacentral:lncRNA from 1 species